rnacentral:miRNA from 2 species
CACGUUACAGAUUGGGGUUUCC